GGAAGACGCAGCGAUGGUGGUCGUCGCGCCCGGUUGCUACCCGGGUCGUCCCACGGGGCGCCAGUUCGACUCUGGCGUCUUCCU
rnacentral:tRNA from 1 species